rnacentral:rRNA from 1 species
UACGGAGGGUGCGAGCGUUGUCCGGAAUCAUUGGGCGUAAAGGGUGCGUAGGCGGCGCGGUAAGUCGGGUGUGAAAUCUCGGAGCUUAACUCCGAAACUGCAUUCGAUACUGCCGUGCUUGAGGACUGGAGAGGAGACUGGAAUUUACGGUGUAGCAGUGAAAUGCGUAGAUAUCGUAAGGAAGACCAGUGGACGAAGGCGAAUCUCUGGACAGUUACUGACACUGAGGCACGAAGGCCAGGGGAGCAAACGG